rnacentral:lncRNA from 1 species
GUCUACCACAUGGAUUUGUAGAGUGAGAGGCAAUUUCAGAGAAAUGAUGACUUAUCGAGAGGAAUUGGGGUUAGUUAUAGCGCAAUUACAUGGAAUUUGAAAUUGAAUUUCUAUGGCUAAUUCCGUGCCAACCAAACAAGUUCUUUUCUGAAAUUUAAAAUGAAUUCUAAAAUUCUAGACCCAAAUGAUGGGUGUCAAAGGAGUUGUAUGGAAAUCGAUGGGGAGCCAAUUGUUAGAAAAAACACCAUAGUUGUAUUUGUGAAUCACAUGUUGGUGCAAUAAAUAAUUAUGUUCAAAAGGAAAAAAAAUGGAGAAAACUUGACCGGUAAACUGCCAGGAUUUUCAAGAUGCCGCAAUACCGUAAAUCCCGGGCCCUCCCAGAAAAAAACAGGAUCUCGUGGCC